rnacentral:rRNA from 1 species
UCAUUAAUUUGGUGAUUAUGAUAACAUAAGGGAAAAAAAAUGAUAUUACCUUAUUAUUAGUGUUGUCCAAAACUGGUGCCAGAAGACUCGGUAAGACCAGAGACGCAAACGUUAGUCAUCUUAAUCAGGCGUAAAGGGUGUGUAGGCUGCUUUAAAAGUUUAAAUCUUUUUAAUAGCUCUUUUGCCGUUGUCCUGCCAUUAUUUAUUUUAUUUAUAAAAUAAUAAACAAUAAUGAAUAUAAAGGCAGUACAUUUUUAAUUUUAUUAAUAUUAAUUUAAUUUAAUAAUUAUAAAGGGGACAAAAAAAAUAUCCCGGUUUAAGUAAAAAGAAUAAAAUGAAUUAAAGCUAGAAUCAAAUUGAGGAUAAACCAAAUAAUACUUAGAGUAGGGCCGAUAUCCGCAGAUACUAAGGGGAAUACUAAAGGUGAAAGCUUUUUAUCUACUAUUGAUUGACGCUGAGAAACGAAGGUGAGAACAGGAAAUAGGAUUUGAUACCCAGAUACCUCUCACUGUCAACGAUGAAUGGUGGUUGUUAGUUUUAAUAAAAACUGGUAACGAUGUUAACACGAUAACCAUUCCGCCUUGCGAGUACGGUUGCAAAACUGAAACCAAAAAAA